UCUAUGCUUGUUUUCAGAGAAUUCUGGGCAUUGGCCUUAUUAAAUAAGUCCAUAAAUAAUAAGCACAGCCAUAGAAAAAGCACAUAAAAUGGCACAUGCACUAUAAAAUAAACAUUAAAAAUGAUUAAGAUUAAAGUUAAAGUAUUUAAAGAUUUUAUGUACACAAAAGAUGAAGGUUAUGGUUAUAUUAGAAUCCUUUAGACAACCAACAACACACAACUGUCAUUACCGACCUUGAUAUGGAUCCAAAUGCAAAAUUUUUUUCCUACGAUGAUCCUCUCGUCUACUGGAAGGCAAACAUUGAAUAUUAUUUGAUAUUAUUCUAUCAGGUUCUUAUGGUUUUAGAUCAUUUUAGUUGUUGUACAAAGAUUAAUUUAACAUUUUCUCUGGAAGUAUUAAUUUAGAAAGAUAAUAUGCCUCAUUGGUGUUGUGUUUUGAAGUGUGAAAUGCAAAGUAAUCGUGAUAAAGUUAGCUUUUACCACUUACCAUCAGUGCUACAUUCUAAGCACAAAACUGAACCAAUUUAACUAAAUAAGUUAUAGUUAUCAUCUGAGAGACAACAACAAUGGUAAAAUGCAAUAAAAUAUUAAGAUUUUACUAGCAAAAUGGAAAUUCCCCUGUAAUCAUCUUAUAUCUGGUAAGUUACAACAUUUGAACAUUAACCAUUUUUGAAGAUGUUAACAGUCUAAUCUUGUAGGAAAACCAGCCGACUUAACUGAUAAUAACAAUCCAGAUUGGGUUCCUUCAAUAAAUAUGGGGUAUAUAAACACAAUGAAAUGAGUUCCCCAAAAUCUAAAAUGGGAAUUAAGGUACCAAAGGAGAAUUAAAAGAAAAGGGUACCUACAAGAAAAAAUUGCUUUUUUAUUCCUCUUGAAAUGAUUUAUAAGACACUGGACUGUCUUAUAUUCUACAAAUACUAGAAUCAGCUGAGAGAAGUGGUCUACAAAAACCCAGGAAGGAAACGGAAUAUGUGGCUACGAAAGGCAAAAGAAAGGUGAAAGCAAAUGUGACACAUUUUUUUGAAAUAUUUAGGAAUAUCAGUAAAUUGCAUUAAAAAAAUGUAUGAAAAGAUUUUGUCCAAUAAAAAUGUUUAUAUUUA